ensembl:sense_intronic 4930509H03Rik RIKEN cDNA 4930509H03 gene
UGGAGAUGUUUAAUGUUGGACUCACGGGUCCUGAGCAGCACAGCUGAGACUCUGGAUGGCUGUGGGUCGGGUCCAAGUGCAAAGCCCUCUUUGGGCUGCAUCAUUUUUUUUUUUUUUUUUUUUUUAAAUUCCAGCUUGACUGGUCCUUGGGCACGUGAUGCAAACACGAUCUCUCCCAAAGAUACAGGAUCUCUCUUUUGUCCCCAGUUCUCCCAUCGGCUCAUUGUAUGUUUCAGUUUUGAUACUUGAGUUCUUGAUAGGGUUGAAAACCUCUGCAUGCCUAAGGAAGAUCAUUGCUGAUCUCUAAUGUUUUGUAAGAGCAGUUAUUCUUUAGUAGUCAGUUUAAAGAGGGGAAAGAUUUUUUUUCCCCAAAUCACGAUACUUUGUCUUCACUAUGUUCCUUUGAGUUAAAGAACCUUCAUUUCAGAUCUCUUUGUUUAUGUAUGAGAAUCCAGUGCAGUGAUCGAGUGGAUUCUCUAGCUCUGACUUUAAAUCCUGACAAACUUGUAUUAGCUAGUGGCAUUUGGAGAGCUCACUGCUCUGAGUCAGUAGGCAUUAAAUAGAACAGUAGGUAUUAAAUGCUGCAAUUAUGAGACUUCUUAGCCACCAACAUACAGUUAUGUCUCUGCCACUAACUGAUCAACGUGCUUAUUAAUUGACUUCUAGAGUUACCUCUGAAAAAGAGUUAUCACUAAAAAUAGUUUUGUGAUAUAAUUAAAAUACAAAGAUUGGUUAGGUUCUUAAUGGAAAAAGAAUACAGGUAGAACAUCUGUAUUGCAGAGGUUAAGUAUACAUUUGCAGAACGUAUUUAUAGGUUAGCAUAGAUAGGAAAGAAGCUAAUUCCUGUAUUCAUUGAGAAAAUUAGUAACUGCUACAGUUACUAUAGAAUUGCAAUAUAGUAAUACAGCUCCUGUCAUUUUGUGGUGGUUAUAUCUGAGGCUUAUUCUGGUUUGACUCAGACUUUAGUAUUAUCAUUUAGCAUAGUCUGAAUUAAUCCAAGCACAGCAUCUUCUUUAUACAGUAGGUGCCUUUUUUGAAGAAAUUGAUGAGACAGCUACCUGAUUAUGAUAGACUGAAUCUGACAUAGGUUUAAAAACAGUCUGACUUAAUGUAACUAAUUGAAGUAAACAUGGCCUGCUUUUGAAGAUCCUUCAGUGAGACUUGCUGAGUGUGUUUGUUUAGUAUGCAUGAAGUUGGGUUUGAACAUUAGUGCUG